rnacentral:rRNA from 1 species
AACGAACGCUGGCGGCAUGCCUAACACAUGCAAGUCGAACGAGACCUUCGGGUCUAGUGGCGCACGGGUGCGUAACGCGUGGGAACCUGCCCUUAGGUUCGGAAUAACUCAGAGAAAUUUGAGCUAAUACCGGAUAAUGUCUUCGGACCAAAGAUUUAUCGCCUUUGGAUGGGCCCGCGUAGGAUUAGCUUGUUGGUGGGGUAAUGGCCUACCAAGGCGACGAUCCUUAGCUGGUCUGAGAGGAUGAUCAGCCACACUGGGACUGAGACACGGCCCAGACUCCUACGGGAGGAAGCAGUGGGGAAUAUUGGACAAUGGGCGAAAGCCUGAUCCAGCAAUGCCGCGUGAGUGAUGAAGGCCUUAGGGUUGUAAAGCUCUUUUACCAGGGAUGAUAAUGACAGUACCUGGAGAAUAAGCUCCGGCUAACUCCGUG